rnacentral:rRNA from 1 species
AUUGAACGCUGGCGGCAGGCCUAACACAUGCAAGUCGAACGAGUGGCGGACGGGUGAGUAAUGUCUGGGAACCUGCCUGAUGGCGGGGGAUAACUACUGGAAACGGUAGCUAAUACCGCAUACCAUCGGAUGUGCCCAUAUGGGAUUAGCUAGUAGGUGGGGUAACGGCCCACCUAGGCGACGAUCCCUAGCUGGUCUGAGAGGAUGACCAGUCACACUGGAACUGAGACACGGUCCAGACUCCUACGGGAGGCAGCAGUGGGGAAUAUUGCACAAUGGGCGCAAGCCUGAUCCAGCCAUGCCGCGUGUAUGAAGAAGGUCUUCGGAUUGUAAAGUACUUUAAGCGGGGAGGCGUUACCCACAGAAUAAGCACCGGCUAACUCCGUGCCAGCCGCCGCGGUAAUUC